GAUGAACGCUAGCGGCAGGCCUAAUACAUGCAAGUCGAACGAGAUUACGAGGCUUGUUUCUUAUGGAAGUGGCGCACGGGUGCGUAACGCGUAUGCAACCUACCUUCAUCAGGGGGAUAGCCCGAAGAAAUUAGGAUUAAGAACGCAUAAAAACACAGGAUAGCAUUAUCCAAUGUUCAAAUAUUUAUAGGAUUAAGAUGGGCAUGCGUGUCAGUAGCUAGUUGGCGGUGUAACGGCCUACCAAGGCGACGAUGACUAGGGGAUCUGAGAGGAUGACAGGCCACCCCGAAACUGGGACAAGGGCCAGACCCCGACGGCAGGCGGCAGCAGGGAAAAGGCAGAAAUGGGCGAAAGGCGGACGGAGAAACGGCCCGUGAGGGAAGAAGGACUUCGGCUCGUAGAACUAUGAUAUUAUGGAAGAAGAAAUGAGUAAGUAACUAUGCAGGAAGUGAAGGUACCCAAACAGAAAGGCACGGCUAACUACCGG
rnacentral:rRNA from 1 species